UUUGUAAACGAGGUAGUUGCUGUGAUGUAUCGGUCUUUGACCAGAUACUUCGCAGAGGAAAGUCCGAGCACUCUUCCAUGUAAACGGAAAAAUAUCGUAGCGGGUAACACCCGUCCAUAGUAAUAUGAGAGGUGCGAGCAGUAACGGUUUUAUCUGAAAAGAUAAAACCGUCCUCCGAAGCCUUGUGCGAAGGAGGACGAACUUGGCUAUAAGGCUAUUUUCCUAAAAGGAAUGGCCCUUCUUCACUAAAGUUACGAAGGGUGACCAAAGGUCAAAGAUGAAACGGCUAAAUCCUUACGAGGGUGCAAGAUCAGCGUUGUUGCCAUAGGUGACUUCGAAAAGUUAGAUCGCUUCAGGUCAAUAGUAAUAUUGAUCGCAGAUAAAUAACUAUCCACGACAAAACUCGGCUUAUUGUUUACAAAGACU
rnacentral:RNase_P_RNA from 3 species